UGAAUCAAUCCAUUCAUGAAUGGGUGAACUUCUUUUCCCGGAGAAGAAUCAAUGACGGUAUCCGGGGAAUAAGCAUAGGCUAACUCUGUGCCAGCAACCACGAUAAGACAAAGGAUGC